UCCGAAAGAAGAUCUGUUAGGAUGAU
rnacentral:piRNA from 1 species